GGGAUCUUGCGCAUGGGCGAAGCCUGNGCAGCAACGCCGCGUGGGGGAUGAAGCUUCUCGGAGUGUAAACCCCUUUCGACCCGGACGAAUGCCCGCAAGGGCUUGACGGUACGGGUAUAAGAAGCCCCGGCUAACUACGUGCCAGCAGCCGCGGUAAAACGUAGGGGGCCAGCGUUGCUCGGAAUUACNUGGGCGUAAAGGGUCCGUAGGCGGUGUGGCAAGUCGGUAGUGAAACCUCUGGGCUUAACCCAGAGACUGCUGCCGAAACUGCUGUGCUAGAGUGCGAGAGAGGCGAGUGGAAUUACGGGUGUAGCCGGUGAAAUGCGUAGAUAUCCGUAGGAACAUCCGAGGCGAAAGCGGCUCGCUGGAUCGCAACUGACGCUGAGGGACGAAAGCUAGGGGAGCAAACAGGAUUAGAUACCCUGGUAGUCCUAGCCCUAAACCAUCAGGACUUGGGGUUUGCCCUGUACGGGGCAAGUCCCGUAGCUAACGCGUUAAGUCCUGCGCCUGGGGAGUACGGUCGCAAGGCUGAAACUCAAAAAAAUUGACGGA
rnacentral:rRNA from 1 species